rnacentral:rRNA from 1 species
CAAUCAUAAAAGGUGGCUUUUAGCUACCACUUACAGAUGGACCUCGCGGCGCAUUAGCUAGUUGGUGAGGUAACGGCUCACCAAGGCGACGAUGCGUAGCCGACCUGAGAGGGUGAUCGGCCACACUGGGACUGAGACACGGCCCAGACUCCUACGGGAGGCAGCAGUAGGGAAUCUUCCGCUAAUGGACGAAAGUCUGACGGAGCAACGCUCGCGUGAGUGAUGAAGGUUUUCGGAUCGUAAAACUACUGUUGUUAGGGAAGAACAAGUACCGUUCGAAUAGGGCGGCACCUUGACGGUACCUAACCAGAAAGCCACGGCUAAC